rnacentral:lncRNA from 1 species
AUGACUUAAAAGGUGAGUACUCGUUUCUUUUUUAUGUUAAUAAGUGACACUGAAGCUGGAAGAACAGAGGACUGUAGGAUCACACAGCCAGGGACAAGCCAGUAGCUUAAGUUUUCUUAACCCUUUGACAUCUGCUAUACUACUCAGUAGUGAGUCCUGGCAUCCAUUAUAGCAGUAUGGAAACACUGGCAGACACUUGGCUUAUUUAUCACCUUUUGGUACAACAAUAAGCUACGCCAUAUGCAAAGACUGUGUAUGAGGAAUAUGUAUCUGAUUAUGUAUAGAUAGAUUAAGAGCAAGUGCUGGGAUUAAAGGUGUGCUCCACCACGCCCGCCACUCCAUAUUUUCAUUCACAGGUUUCUCCUCAGCCCAUUCUUUCUCCAAAACCUGCCUGUUCUGCAUGGUGUUCUUUGAUCCUCUCACAGUCCUGAUGCUCGCGACCAGGAACACCUGCUCCAAGCUGCUGUGACAUUCACAUUCAGACCCUUACUUGGAAGGCUACCCUCUCUAGUAUCUGGCCAGCUGCAAACUGUUGGGGAAUCAAGGGGAUCUCUCUCUCCCUUCCUCUCCCCAAAAGUUUUUGGUACACCAUUCCCAACUUUUUUUCACAACUUCAUUUGCUCUUGAGACAUCACAAUCCCUGACUGCCUAACAAUCUGGUCUCAACCUCUCCCACACCCCUGUAACUCACCUUGACAUUUCCUGCUGUUGUUAGCUUCUGAUGGCUUCUCACAUUUAUAGUCUGUGUGAGCCUCAGAAAGGCAAGUUUUGUGCAGUUCCAAGCUUCUCCUACUUGAACGAAUUGGGAGUGGGUGCUUUUUUGUUUUGUUUUGUUUUGUUUUUCUAUAAAAGCAGGACAGAGAGAUUUCUCAUUAUUCCAGGGAAACAUCCCCUCACUAGUACAAGAGUACAUUUGCAAACCAGCCUUUCAAAGAGCUAUUUCAAAAGCAAUAAGCAAGUGGUUCCAUGGUGAGGAUUACAAACACACCCUCAGGGUCAGUCAAGGGUGAGGAGGACAGUUCUACUAUGACAAGACACAUUGGGCCAGACUCCGUGGGAGAGUGUCAGACAUACAUCUUUAAAGUGCUGUAUCACAAACAGCUUAGAUGCAAGCAAAGGAGAGCUACUUAAAGAAACUAGGUGUAGAUAUCAUGAAGGUGUUGAUUCAAAAGAUGCUUGUGGAGAAUUUGAAGCUAAUUGUUAACUUAAUGUGAGAAUGGGGAAAAGCAAUAUUUUGUAUUAUUGUAAUAUAUAUAUAUAUUGUUAUUUUAAAAUAAGCAUGUAUAAUUAAAUAAAUUAGAU